rnacentral:piRNA from 1 species
AUGUAGAAUAUUUUAUAGAUGGAGC